AUUGAACGCUGGCGGCAUGCUUUACACAUGCAAGUCGGACGAGUGGCGAACGGGUGAGUAACGCAUCGGAACGUACCUAGUAAUGGGGGAUAACUGUCCGAAAGGACAGCUAAUACCGCAUAUUAUUCGCGAGGCCGAUGUCUGAUUAGCUGGUUGGCGGAGGAAAGGCCCACCAAGGCGACGAUCAGUCGCUGGUCUGAGAGGAUGAUCCGCCACGCUGGAACUGAGACACGGCCCAAACUCCUACGGGAGGCAGCAGUGGGGAAUUUUGGACAAUGGGCGCAAGCCUGAUCCAGCCAUGCCGCUUGUCUGAAGAAGGCCUUCGGGUUGUAAAGGAAUUUUGUCAGGGAAGCGGUACCUGAAGAAUAAGCACCGGCUAACUACGUGCCUGCAGCCGCGGUAAUAC
rnacentral:rRNA from 1 species